rnacentral:rRNA from 1 species
CAACGCCGCGUGAGUGAAGAAGGUUUUCGGAUCGUAAAACUCUGUUGUGAGGGAAGNUNGNCCNCCAAUUAACUACUGGAANNUUGACGGUACCUCACCAGAAAGCCACGGCUAACUACGUGCCAGCAGCCGCGGUAAUACGUAGGUGGCAAGCGUUGUCCGGAAUUAUUGGGCGUAAAGCGCGCGCAGGCGGUCCUUUAAGUCUGAUGUGAAAGCCCACGGCUCAACCGUGGAGGGUCAUUGGAAACUGGGGGACUUGAGUGCAGAAGAGGAAAGUGGAAUUCCACGUGUAGCGGUGAAAUGCGUAGAGAUGUGGAGGAACACCAGUGGCGAAGGCGACUUUCUGGUCUGUAACUGACGCUGAGGCGCGAAAGCGUGGGGAGCAAACAGGAUUNNNUACCCUGGUAGUCCACGCCGUAAACGAUGAGUGCUAAGUGUUAGGGGGUUUCCGCCCCUUAGUGCUGCAGCUAACGCAUUAAG